GCUCCUCCUCCCCCAUAGGAGUGCCUCUCCUUCGCUGUUUCCUCGCCGUUCAUCUAUGGUGGUCAUCGGUCUCAGCUUGAGUCCAACCACCACAGUACUCCUCUAGCCUCCCCUCCAUGUCCACCACACUUCCCACACUCCCACGAGUCGCCCCGACCCCUUGCCCCCUCGCUAGAGUGCCCGCAUCACCGGAGACCUCACCACCACCGCCGCCUCGGUCCUUCUCCGUCGUUGCGGCCUCCCCUCCGUUGCACCCCUCCCCGCACGCCCCCUUGCCUCUGAACGGAUCCGCAAGACACCAUGGUCCCACCGGUGUCCUCAGACCGGCCGGAGCCCGCGGAGUCGCCAUCCCCGCGUUCGGUCGCCGUCCCUUGUCCUCUGUUCCCCGCGAGCGUCGUCGUGUUGUGUCCCUCCCUGGCGUAGACUAACGGCCGGUAUAGCUGUGCUGCUCUUCCCUGCACACGCUGGUGCUCUCGUCGGAGCCCGGGGUGGCCGGAUCCGGUCGGCCCCAUCACCUCCUAUCGCCCCUGCCUCGUCUGCCUCUGUCUCGCUCGGGGCCGAGCGAGGGAGGAGGAAGACGAUGCCAGCCUGGCCCCGCCUCUCCCUCGGUCCCACUCGCCAGCAUCCCAGGCGUUGACCCCGCCUUAUCCACUCAAAAGCGUAAACUGCCCGAAGGCGUUUUCAGUUUUUCCACUAGGGGCAUGUUUGCUGAAGUUUAUUCAUAGAUUGGUCCCUGAGCUUCAACACCUCACAUCUUCUCGACCGUAACUCCGAUCGAGCCCCCCUUCGAGAGAGAAUCGUUCGGCGUUUCGUUCCGCGGCUUCACCACACUUCUUCCCGGAGUCUCCGUCACCCCCAGGCAAGCCACAAUAGCCACUUGCAUGAUAGCCAUGCAGUAGCCAUGGUUUCUACUUGAAUAUUUAAUAAAAGUUUGCCUGUUAUUUGCCUGCUUGUUUGCUACUGUUGUCGUUGUUUCGAUUAUGCUCAUGGUUUCAUGUCCACCUUCAUGAUAUGUUAUGAUGCAUCUUGUUACCUUGUGCUACUUGCUAGUAUCAUUGUCACAUGUUAUGCUUGAUAGUAGUAGUAUAUGCUGGUAGCAAUGGUGUUCUUUCUGAUGCAUAUUUACCGUUUGUUAUCAAGUAUCGUAGCUAUGCAUGUUACUUUGCACCCAGUUGGUUACAUGCUUACUUGGUAGUGUUCUUGCUAUGUUCUUGCAUGGUACUUAUUCAUGAUGCUAGUAGUCGCUAUGAUCCCGUGUGGCGUUAUGAUCAUGCUCGUUAACAUGCUAUGCUCAGUUGGUGUCGUGGAUUUGUCACGGCAGAUGUCCUAGAGUGAGGACUUAGUCGUGAGGCCAACGCAUCUAUGUG